rnacentral:rRNA from 1 species
CCUACGGGUGGCAGCAGUCGAGAAUCAUUCACAAUGGGGGAAACCCUGAUGGUGCGACGCCGCGUGGGGGAAUGAAGGUCUUCGGAUUGUAAACCCCUGUCAUGUGGGAGCAAAUUAAAAAGAUAGUACCACAAGAGGAAGAGACGGCUAACUCUGUGCCAGCAGCCGCGGUAAUACAGAGGUCUCAAGAGUUGUUCGGAAUCACUGGGCGUAAGGCGUGCGUAGGCUGUUUCGUAAGUCGUGUGUGAAAGGCGCGGGCUCAACCCGCGGACGGCACAUGAUACUGCGAGACUAGAGUAAUGGAGGGGGAACCGGAAUUCUCGGUGUAGCAGUGAAAUGCGUAGAUAUCGAGAGGAACACUCGUGGCGAAGGCGGGUUCCUGGACAUUAACUGACGCUGAGGCACGAAGGCCAGGGGAGCGAAAGGGAUUAGAUACCCGGGUAGUC